AGCGAACGCUGGCGGCAGGCUUAACACAUGCAAGUCGAGCGGGCAUCCUUGUGGUGUCCGCGGCAGACGGGUGAGUAACGCGUGGGAACGUGCCCUUCGGUUCGUAAUAACUCAGGGAAACUUGAGCUAAUACCGGAUACGUUCGAGAGCAGACAGUUUUAUCUGCCGAAGGAUCGGCCCGCGUCUGAUUAGCUAGUUGGUUAGGUUAUGGCUCACCAAGGCGACGAUCAGUAGCUGGUCUGAGAGGAUGAUCAGCCACACUGGGACUGAGACACGGCCCAGACUCCUACGGGAGGCAGCAGUGGGGAAUAUUGGACAAUGGGGGCAACCCUGAUCCAGCCAUGCCGCGUGAGUGAUGACGGCCUUAGGGUUGUAAAGCUCUUUUCUCCGGGACGAUAAUGACGGUACCGGAGGAAUAAGCCCCGGCUAACUUCGUG
rnacentral:rRNA from 1 species